rnacentral:rRNA from 1 species
UGGCGUAGACAAGAAGUUGCCAAACCCGCGAGGGCGAACUAAUCUCUUAAGUCCCUCUCAGUUCGGAUUGCGGCUGCAACUCGCCUGUUGCAGUCGGAAUCGCUAGUAAUCGCGGAUCAGCACGCCGCGGUGAAUACGUUCCCGGGCCUUGUACACACCGCCCGUCACACCAUGAGAGUUUGUAACACCCCAAGCCGGUGGGGUAACCUUUAGGAG